rnacentral:rRNA from 1 species
GCAAGUCGAACGGUAACAGAGAAGAGCUUGCUCUUUUGCUGACGAGUGGCGCACGGGUGCGUAACGCGUAUACAAUCUACCUUUUACAGGGGGAUAGCCUUUAGAAAUGAAGAUUAAUACCCCAUAGUAUCCCAUUAUCGCAUGGUAUAAGGAUUAAAAUUUCGAUGGUAAAAGAUGAGUAUGCGUUCUAUUAGCUAGAUGGUGUGGUAACGGCACACCAUGGCAACGAUAGAUAGGGGCCCUGAGAGGGGGAUC